CAUAUACUCCCUCCGUUCCGAAUUACUUGUCGCAGGUAUGGAUAUAUCUAGAUGUAUUUUAGUUUUAGAUAUAUCCAUUUCUGCGACAAGUAAUUUGGAACAGAGGGAGUAUGUG
rnacentral:pre_miRNA from 1 species